rfam:Oryza nivara chromosome 10, whole genome shotgun sequence.
UAUAAUAGGGACUGGAGAGUUUCCAAUUUUAAUUAUCUGUCUUAUUUAAUUUUUUUAUGAUUACUAUUUUAUUUGUUAUCAGAUGAUAAAAUAUGAAUAGUAUUUUAUGCGUGACUUAUGUUUUUUUUAUUUUUUUAAAUAAGAUGAACUAUUAAAGUUGGACAUGGAAACUUAUGGUUGCGCUUAAA